GACGUAGGGCGCAAGCGUUGUCCGGAUUUAUUGGGCGUAAAGAGCUCGUAGGCGGCCUGUCGCGUCGACCGUGAAAACCCGCAGCUCAACUGCGGGCUUGCGGUCGAUACGGGCAGGCUGGAGUUCGGUAGGGGAGACUGGAAUUCCUGGUGUAGCGGUGAAAUGCGCAGAUAUCAGGAGGAACACCAGUGGCGAAGGCGGGUCUCUGGGCCGAUACUGACGCUGAGGAGCGAAAGCAUGGGUAGCGAACAGG
rnacentral:rRNA from 1 species